rnacentral:rRNA from 1 species
UACAGAGGUCUCAAGCGUUGUUCGGAUUCAUUGGGCGUAAAGGGUGUGUAGGUUGCGCGCUAAGUCGGGUGUGAAAUUUCGGAGCUUAACUCCGAAACUGCAUUCGAUACUGGCGUGCUUGAGGACUGGAGAGGAGACUGGAAUUCAUGGUGUAGCAGUGAAAUGCGUAGAGAUCAUGAGGAAGACCAGUGGCGAAGGCGGGUCUCUGGACAGUUCCUGACACUGAGACACGAAGGCCAGGGGAGCAAACGGG